rnacentral:rRNA from 1 species
GACGAACGCUGGCGGCGUGCUUAACACAUGCGAGUCGAACGGAAAGGCCUGCUUUCCCUUGUGGUUUGCGGGUACUCGAGUGGCUAACGGGUGAGUAACACGUGAGUGAUCUGCCCCCAACUUGGGUAUAAGCCUGGGAAACUGGGUCUAAUUCCCGAUAGGACUGCAGGGUGGUGCCUGUGGUGGAAAACGAUUUUCUAGUGGUUGGGGAUGAGCUCGCGGCCUAUCAGCUUGUUGGUGGGGUAAUGGCCUACCAAGGCGGCGACGGGUAGCCGGCCUGGGAGGGUGGACGGCCGAAUUGGGACUGGGAUACGGCCCAGACGCGUACGGGAGGCAGCAGUGGGGAAUAUUGCACAAAGGGCGGGAGCCUGAUGCAGCGACGGCGCGUGGGGGAUGACGGCAUUCGGGUUGUAAACUCCUUGCGACCGCGAGGAAGCCACCUGGUUGGAAGGGUGGUGACGGUAGUGGUAGAAGAAGCACCGGCUAACUACGUG